rnacentral:tRNA from 1 species
GGCGAAUGUAUUUUAGUGGUAGAAUUUCAAUCUUCCAAGUUGUAAGCGUGGGUUCGAUUCCCAUCUUUCGCUU